rnacentral:rRNA from 1 species
UACGUAGGGUGCAAGCGUUAAUCGGAAUUACUGGGCGUAAAGCGUGCGCAGGCGGUUGUGCAAGACAGAUGUGAAAUCCCCGGGCUUAACCUGGGAACUGCAUUUGUGACUGCACGGCUAGAGUGUGUCAGAGGGGGGUAGAAUUCCACGUGUAGCAGUGAAAUGCGUAGAUAUGUGGAGGAAUACCGAUGACGAAGGCAGCCCCCUGGGAUAACACUGACGCUCAUGCACGAAAGCGUGGGGAGCAAACAGG